UACGAAGGGGGCUAGCGUUGUUCGGAUUUACUGGGCGUAAAGCGCACGUAGGCGGAUUGGUCAGUUAGGGGUGAAAUCCCAGAGCUCAACUCUGGAACUGCCCUUAAUACUGCCAGUCUAGAGUCCGGAAGAGGUAAGUGGAACUCCUAGUGUAGAGGUGGAAUUCGUAGAUAUUGGGAAGAACACCGGUGGCGAAGGCGGCGACCUGGCCUUGAUCUGACGCUGAGGAGCGAAAGCGUGGGGAGCGAACAGG
rnacentral:rRNA from 1 species